rnacentral:tRNA from 1 species
GCCAGGGUAGCUCAGUGGUUAGAGCAUCGCAUUCAUAACGCGGGGGUCGUGGGUUCAAAUCCCACCCCUGGCA